rfam:Danio rerio chromosome 13 genomic contig CTG1270, GRCz11 reference primary assembly.
UACCACAGCCAUAUCACCCUACAGCCCAAGACCUGUUACUUACUGAAGCUAAGCAGGGCUGAGCCUGGUCAGUACCUGGAUGGGAGACCACUAGGGAACACUAGGUUGCUGUUGGAA